CGCACCCGGGGUGCCGGUGCACCCGGUCGACGCCACCGAUCCGGCGCAGGUGGCGGUGCUGCGGCGGUACCUGUCCGGCGGGCGCACCC
rnacentral:tRNA from 1 species